AUGAUUCUCAAAAGGAUGUGCUGGCAACUUAUACUUGCAUGUGCACUCUGACUCUCAUUCACCUGUGCACAUUCUGUAGACAGUGAUAGUAAUUCUAUCCAUUGUCUAUGAUUUUAUACACCUUGUUAAAAUAAAAUUGAACGUUUUAUAAAUCAAUA
rnacentral:misc_RNA from 1 species